GACUACAUGAAGCCGGAAUCGCUAGUAAUCGCGGAUCAGAAUGCCGCGGUGAAUACGUUCCCGGGUCUUGUACACACCGCCCGUCACACCAUGGGAGUCGGAAAUGCCCGAAGUCUGUGACCCAACCGCAAGGAGGGAGCAGCCGAAGGCAGGUCGGAUGACUGGGGUGAAGUCGUAACAAGGUAAC
rnacentral:rRNA from 1 species